GGGGGCGGUAGCAGCAAGCAGCUGCCUCAGAGCGUGCUGGGUGCUUCCAGAAACUUCCAGUGAGAACUACUUGGAAAUUACAGGUAAGAACCGAGUUUCUGGCACUGCAGAGAGAAUACCCUGUUGCUGGGCAAAGAAGCAGCUCAGCAGGUGCAGCUAUUAAUGAGGCAGGUGGCCAGGUGGGCUGUAGCAGAGAGCUGGUGUUUGGGCAGGGAGCCAUUUUGGCGCACUCACCUCACAGCACCGAGGGACCCCGAGGGACCCCCAGGGACCGGGGAGCAGUGCCUCGGGGAGCCCCACACAGCCCCACCGUGCACUAAUAACCAACUCCUGCUUGAAGCUUUGCUGUUCUGUGGCAUAGCCUGAAGGGAAGCUGAAGAAGCAGCUCAGAGCAAGGUCUCUGAGGCAGUUGGCCCUGGGGACACAGCUGCUGUGCUGGUGCCAGGGUUGAUGGGCUGCACCUGGGCCUAGCCUCCCACCAAGUCCUGAUGGGGGAGCACAGUCCCUCAGCAGAAGCUAUAUAUAGGCCAGUUUCUAGCCGGCAGCAACCUUCAUUCUCUCAGGUAGCCCCUCAGGAGAGGUGCUUAGUAUGAAGUUCUGUGCACCCGGCUGGCUACACUCACAGGCUGUGGUGUGAAGAGACUUGGACCUGCUAAUGAACAUCUGAAUGCAUGUAUAUUCUUGGAAACCUGUUUUACCACAAACAUUUGAACCUGAAAUGCCAGAUUCAUAACCCAACAAACUGAUUUGUUGUCAACUACUGUGCUCACACUGGUUCAGAUGCUGUGCUUCUCCUGUGAGAAACCUGUGCAAGUUUCCAGAGUGUGAAUCCCUUAAACUGCAGCAGCAAUGAUGGCUCCUCCUUGGCAGAAACAUGCUGAGAGGCAGUUGGGAAUCCCCUGCUCUGGAGCUGCAGCCUGAGGAACCUCAGCGUGUAAGAAGCGUCUCUGAGGCACUCACAUGGUGAUGGUUAUACAUCUCCUGCUUACCCCAACUUAGUGAAAGCUGUCUUCAAGCAAAUAAGACUGGCAGCAAGGCUGGGAGUGCAAUCACCUGCUGGCAUAAUCCCUGGACUCUUCUUAAAGGAAUUCUAAAAAGGGAAACUCAGGAAUGCCUACCUGACUGUCCAGAGAACUGCCAUCCAGAGGAGCAUCCUACAGCAGCACAAGCAUUUCAUCUUCUGGAUUUGUGGAGACAUGUGGGAUUUGUUGAUGCUGAAGGCAGGAGGAAGUCAAGGGAGAAAAAAAGAAUUCUGGGAGGAAACUUGGUAAAACCGAAGAUCCAAAGUGAAACAUCAGGAAACAUCACCAAAAUGAAGCCCGUUGGAUGUUUGCAGCUGUUUCUUUAGUCCUGAUUAACAGGGAUUUUCUGAGAAGAGCUGCACAAGUGCAGUCCCCAUUCAGCGUACAGAUUUUCCAGAGUGAUCUCCAAGUUGUAAUGGACAACCUCUUUCCUGCCAGCAGAGCCCAGAGAGGAAUAAACCAAGACCACCAGCUAAGUCAUUGUGUAAUGUGCUGUGGAUAUGAGCAUCGAAUGCCCUCAGAAAACUGGAGUUGUUAUGAGAAUGGUGCAAAAGAAUCUUAUGAGAAAUAUCCAACAAAAUGUCCACUUCACGAUGUCACUUGCUCCGAGUUUCAAAAAAUCAUUAAAUAUAAUUACGCUAAUUUGGCAAUGACUCAGGACCAAAUCAUCCUUUUGCGGGAAUUACCUACGAAGGAAACUGGACGCUCCAUGGCAUCUGUGUCAUCCUUCCCUCCAGAUGGUGCCUCCAAAUCUGUUCUGAAAUGGCAUGUGCAAAGCAAAUCCAGAGUGCCUAUCAUUCAGCCCUCUGAUGGCAACUCUCAGACAACUCGGGGACAGACAGAACACAAAACCAGAAAUAAGGACUUGCAACCGUGGCUGAAGAUGCCCAGAGAGUCGUGUAUGUAACAGCCAGCGAGAGGCAGAUGACAGCAACAAGAAAUUUCACAGCUCCAAAGAGUGAACGUACCACGGAUUAGUACCGGAGACAGAAAUACUUCUAUGAAAACCAUGAAGGAAGUUCCGGAAUCUAGAGUAACUCUCGGAUGCACAGAACUGGAGACUUAAAAGAUCCUCAGUUCCCCCAGGACCUGAGCAUGUAGAAACGUGGGGGCCUGGCUGUCCUUCUGGUCUGCACGCGUGGCCUCAAGCCCGAAUCCCUACAACAGCAUCUCCACUGGCAGCAAAGCGCUUCUUUGCCCUUUACCACUGAACUGCUGUGGCUUGAUUGUGUGAAACUGAGUUUCAGGAUGCAAGAUACUGUUCAGAUAGUUCUGCAAUACAUUCUUCAGACCCAGCAGCUUUGGCAGGCCCGUGGAUGAUGGAAUAACCAGAUCUCUGCGGCCACCCCUGAAAAACAGAUUCUUUCUUCUGGAUUCCCUGGGAUUCUCUCAGCAGCCAGCCUUGUUUACAGAAGUCAGCGCGGACAGUAACAGCCCUUCACCAAUGAGCCACAGUGGACCCUUUGGGGAAGGCUCCUCACGGUGCUCUGUCAUCUGCUGACAAAGUGGUGCCAGGACCAGAACUUCACAAUGAACUCUGCGGAGAAAAAUCCACAGCAGAUGAAGGAAUCUCGAAGUCAGUGACAGGUAGACUCAGGCUUAAAGUGAGAGGAUCCCCCACGUCACUGGUUUCAACUAGAGGAUACGUCUGUGCUAUGAGAAUACUCAGUAUGAGAAACGUGCUGCGAAACAGAGGCAGCCAGUUGGAGCAGUGCUUCAGACUAAGCUGAGGUCAGUUUUAGAAUCACAGAACACUUCAGGCUGGACAGGAACUCUUGAUGUCACCUCAAUCCACGCCCUGCUCAAAGAAGGUCUCACUACGUCAGAUCGCUCAAGGCUGCAGCCAGUCAAGUUGAACCCUCAAAUGGGGAGCCUCUGCUGAAUGCUGGUUACUGCAAGGUUCAGGCACCCAAGUAUGUGCUUAUGUGAGUGGGAGUACAACGUACCUACGCCUACCUACGUGUGCUUACCUACAGACAUUUUUAUUUUCAAUGUUCUGAUUCCAGCGGCCUUUUCAAGAGACAAAAGAAAGUUAAAAAUAAAAUUAGAGCCUAAAAACAAUGGAUUUGCAGUAGCCAGCACAAUGCCAGUCUGCACUGUUGCGAAAGACCUGUGCAUAAACAUUCAUAGGGAUGAAUUCAGAGGUGAUGGGCGACACAGACUGAGGAAAAGGAGCCCAGAGAGUAGGUAAUAAUAAAGAAAAUCAUGAAAAGAGGAAACAGAGAAGGAAAAGCAGCUAAGUGAAAGGUAUGUAACACCUAAUCUAAAGCACAUUUCUCUCUCCUUCAGCGCACACAAAACUUUUACCGGUUCCUUUUUAUGGUUAUUGAAUGCCUACAUUACCUGAAAGUGGAAUUUAUUGAGCUGAGUGUUAAACUCUAAGUUUUACAAAUAAGCUUCCGUACAAAAAUAUUUAUUAUCUGUAACGUACAUCAUCAGCUCUUACACUCCCACUGCGUUCAUCCAUUGUCUCCCAAUACAGUUACCGUGAACGUAUGUCAGAAUAUACGUCAGCCUCAGAAAUACACACUUGUACUGCAGUGACUAUUUUCUAUUCCUUAUUUCUUUGCCUCUAUUUUAAACAACGGAUGUGUACGUUUGCUUAGAACCUAGCUUCUGAAACAGAAGGACAAAAUUACUGGUUCUGACAGCUGUGAAAACAUUUCCAUAAUACAGAAAAUCUAAAUGCCUCUUCAUUCAAUCACUUUCUCAAUGAAAACAUCCCAGGAUUAAAGAAAUCCAGGGAAAGAGAAAAGAUUAACCUAGAAAAGGCAAAUAAGCAAGUGAAUAAAGCUGGGUUUAUUGCUUCCUGCUUCAACAAUGUCCAACAAGAUCUGGGCCAUGGUGCCACAGCUUUCACACGCGUGUGCAGUGGACACAGCUCCCCUGCAUGCAAACAAUGCACCAGCUUGCGUGAAGUGAAUUGGGGCCAGCACAAUUGUUUGAAGGAGGAGGGAUGCACAGUCACUGGAAGCACAGAAGCGCCUUUUCUCUCUGGUUUCAUGCAGCUGACAUACCGAGCAGAGGAGCCAGAGAGAACAUGUAAUGGAAAUAAAUGACUUUGCAGACCCAACGGAAGGAGGUGGGAGCGAAAAAGCAUCCUCACCCCCUGCCCGGCGGCUGCGUAAAUCUGUCCCUGCCAGGAGAGCUCCGGGAGGUGCUCAGCGGCCGCCUCCCCAGGAGUCAGUGAGAGUUCAGGUGCUUACUGUGUCAUCAGGCUUGACCUUCACAUGCGACACUGCCAGGACGUUUGUUUUCCCACAGCAGUGAUUGCUUCAGUCAAUUAUUAUUGCCCAUCGUAGAGUGCAAACACAUAAGGGCUUGAUUUACAGUGCAAAAAUAUACAUCCUGAAUUUACUUCCUCUUUUGUUUUUGGACUGUCAUAGCAUCUCCACCUUAAAGAGAUGACAGCAAAUUACUUCAUAGGUAAAUAUAUGUAUGUAUAGGGAAGGAUAAAUAGCAGUCAUUCGGGUCAUUGUGAGAUGAACGUUCAGUAUAGCUUCAGAUCGGCUGUGUCAGACGUGACAAUAUAUUUUAAGCUUUUUGUUUUAAAAUUUUCAUUUUUUCUGCUUUUCUUUGAAGAAAUCAUCAUUCGCAAAUUUUGCAAGUUGGCAAUCUAACCUCUAAAUCCAUUCUAACGCAGAUUUAAGAUUGUGCAUUCAGUUCCUUAAGCAAUGUUUAGGUAUUACCAAUAUACUGAAAGAUAGAUGAGACAGCCUCAUGGUAAUACAGCUUUUAACCUUUCCUCUCCUCUACCAUGACGGGGGAGAAUUACAGUAAAUGAUGGUUACCUUGUCUGCAGUAUGGACAAUUGAUUUGACCUCACUGCAUCUGAUGCUCUAAUGGACUUUGUGGCUGAAUCCCUGGAGAUAUAAAAUAUGUCCAAGUGAAUUGGGGCAGGUUAAAGAACGGACCUGCUUUUCAUGGCUGGCUCAAGCUAUAAUAGAUCUCCCGGUUGUUCUGAGAAGAAGAUUAAAAAUGAUCAAUAUCCAAAUCAUUAAAAAAAAAAAGCGGUGGCUUCUGUAAAUCUACCAUAGGUGGGUUUUUUUUCCUGCUAAACGCCGGAGGAGGGUGUCUGGGUUGAUAACGUGAGUUUCCAUAACAAAUGUUUACUUCUGUUUACUCUCUAGUAACAUGUUCCUUUUUAUAUUAAGACUCAGACACACAGAUGGCGUGAUUCAGCACUGCUUUCCUGAAGUCAUGCUUGUUUACACCAUGAAGAGUCAGGCCUUAGGUUUAUUUAAUAUAGAUAAAAUAACAAUACUAUAAUAUUUCCUGAAGCAGAAAAUAAAAUCAAGGACAGAUUUCAGAGAAUGAUGGCAACUGCGAUAACUGUGAACAUCCUCACAGUUCUGCUAGCCACAGUGUCUAAGACAAAAAUAAAGGUUUAAUUUAGUGAGGAAAAAAGAAAAAAAAGAUUUUCCUUGGCUGCUCUGAGUCCUUCAUUUGGCAAAGUGCAAUUGAACAUCUUGUUUAUCCUUUCCCACCCUCUCACGAACAUCUCUGCUCUUUUCUCACCAGCACACAACUGAGCUCAAGGUGAGUGUAAGUCUGUCCAGCCCCUGGAGGUGCCAGGAGAAAAGCUUUCACAGCCCACAGCUGGGAGCUCACCCACAGACCUUCCUCUCUACAUACAGCAGCAAUGGGGCAGGCAACUUCAGUGGGCUUAUACGUAUGCACAUGCUUAGCUUCCUGUAAAACCCAUGCAUUAAGGAGACAGAUGCACAGCUGUUCCAUCUGAGGCAUGCAUGUAUUGGUUUCUGCACUUAUUCAGUAAACUUGAAAUGCAGAGGAGCCCAAAUCUCUGUUCUGAACAGUUUGAGGUUGUUUGGAUCUGACAUCUCUGUGCGUUCACUGACAGAAAUAAGCUAAUUAUGAACCUGAGUUGGAAGAGGGAUGCCCUUUUUCUGAGUUUUGAGAAGUGUCUGGGCAGAGUAAUUGGACUGCCCUAUCUCAACUGCGUUACAGCAAUCGAGCAAAUGCGAAAAGUCUUCCUUAGAAAGGAAGAAAUAUGUGUUUUUAAGUGCUAGGACAAUUCCACGUAACAUCACGGUUUGCAUCUAUACCCACAGUACGCAGAGAUUCAUGCAGAUGUCCAACAAAUUGAAAAGGCUUCAAAUAUAUUUUAUCUAGUUGUAUGUUUAACAGUAUUUACCUUUUGCCUUUCACAGGUUGCUUUAAAAUCUGACUAUGUAAUAACAUCCUCUGAAUGAUUUAAUUUAAGCUAACGUGCUAUCCCUUUAUGUAAAAAGUAAAGGUAUUUUGAAAGCCCUUGCUGAAUACUCUGAGGUUGCCUCUACUGUGUGGCUAGCACUGGGCUGAAUGCCUAGCAUCCGUGCGUAGAAGAGGGAACAACUGCUGCCCCUCCGAUCUGGCUAUUCUUGUAUCUGGAAACAUUGUCAGGUGCUACAAGCAUCACGCCAUCUGAAAGGCCAAAGUUGAGUACUACGUUAUUGGAGUAGAUGACACCUUAUUCUUAUUCUUCAACAAUUCUAACAACUUAGAGUCCCUCACUGUCCCUUUAUGAACACAGAUGUCAUUCUGAGGGGGGGGACAGCCAAAAUGACAAGAAGGUGACCUGUCGGUGAACUCAGGAGCAGGUGAGGCCUGUCAGCUUCUAAUUUGAAACUGGUGUCAGUCCUGAGGAAUGGCUGGUAUAAUCACAUUUGUAACUGAUAUCCUAUAAACGCUGCAAACAUUCACAGUGCGCCUGUUAUGAGUAAUAUGAAAUUAACAAUUCGUGUUUAUGACACAAGACACCGACCGAAUCAAGCAGGUCUCCGUAACUGGAUCAGCUCCGUCUGUCUGCCAGAGCAGCGCAUCGAACUGCUUCAACCAAAGCCAAAUUACUGUGUGCUUAUGUUACAAUAGGCAUUGUAUUUAUUUUGAAGACAAACUUUUGUAACUAGGCGUAAAGUGAGGACCUCAGAACCAGCUUCUCGCUCAAGUUAUUGCAUAUAAAACUUCUCUUGCUCGAGCCCAGCCAUUAAGAUGUUCGUGACUUUUAAGUUAAGAGUUUGGGACCUAACAAAUCACGUGUUGUAUCUCACAUUUUCUGAAUAACUGAAGGGAAGGCUCUGUGUAAAUCUUCUCUCUCAGACACAUAAAUUACCAGCUGCGUGAAUACUGCCAUUAAGACAAGCAGACAAGUGCGAGGGGUGGGGACAGGGCAGGAUGCCCCAAAGAGGUGGAGUUACAGAGAAAACAAGGCAUUUGCUUACUGAGUAAUUUAUGCUUCAUCUGCCUUCACUGUAGCUCGGUAAGAAUGAACACCAUGAGGCAGUCUGUCAGGCGCUCUCACUUCACUACCGCCAAGGCAUUUUUCUGCAAAUUAGGUAUUUGCUUCCUAUUUCUAGUCACUUCCACCUGGAUUUUUUAUUAGGAAAAGUCAAAAUCAUAGUAUCUGAAGCUAAGAUUUGAAUUGAAGUUACACUAAAAGAUAAACUGUUGCUCAAGUAUAUUUCACAUUUGAAGACAGCAAAAUCUCACAAUCCUUUGCACAAUUAUUUCCAGUCCAAACUGACAGAAGCUCUAAAGUUCGGGUCCUUUCCUGCCUGCACUGCUGCUGAGCCUGGUGCAUAGAUUAGAAGUUCCUUUCCAAUAACAAGCAAAAUAAAAGAAGAACCAUACGAAGAAUCUAUUGCAAUUGUUACACUGGAAUUUAGUUAGCAGAGCUACAAAAACGCAAGUCCAAAUCCCAAGUAGCUAGUGGAGAUUUCUGAACGGUUCUGUACACCUUCACGUAGACAAUCCAGUGGAGCUAACAACCUACUGUAGCACUCUUUUGUGAUAGGCAAAUACCAUUCAUUUCCAUUUUCCACAGAAGAACUGCACUCCACAGAGCUUCAGCAAUGUAAACAAGGCCAGGUACAGCAUUACAGCUGUGGUUCAGGCAACAACAUUCCUUGUCCUCUGACACAACACUUACACAUCAUACUUGUAACACUACCUAGUUCAAGUUGGUGGUCAAUACCACCUAAUUAGCAGAGUAAAAGUGCAAUUUUGAAACCAACUUACAAAACUGCUACAACCAACCUACAAAACUCCAUCAUACCAAAGAAAAAUUAUGGCUCUAAAUUUCACAAUCACUCUCUGCCAACCAAAAACUCACCUUUAAGAAGAGUCAGGGCUGAAAGCUGAAAGUUGAGGCAGUCAUCUCUCAACGUGUAGAACUCCUCACGUUGCUACGAAGGUACAGCACGGUUGUUCAGUGUUUGGAUAAAGUACUGCAUGGGAACUGUUGAAUCACAGCCUGAACCACCAAUUGAUCACCUGAGGCAAGGACUGAAUCAGCUGUGGGAGCACAGGUGAAAGCAAUUCAGCUAUGUGACCAGAAGCUGUGUGACCACAUUCCACCCCUCCCAGACCCCAUUUAAGGGCUGACUAACACUGGGGAAGAAUCUCCUUGUGGUGAUCCCUCCUUUGUGGAGCUUUUCAGUGUGAGCCUAAAUCUUUGCAUACAGAGUUAAUGGAGACGCUCCAAACAGAGGAUUAAGUGGAAAGCAGAGUUUUGCAGCAACCUGAGAUAUUAAAAGGAAAACCAACUGACAGAGCAGAAAAAAGACAGCCAACUUACGGCAACGCGGCAGUAUUUUCCACCAAAAAGUCGCCGUUAAAUCCCCCGCAAUUACUCACAGCUAUCGGGGUGCGCAGUGGCCGUGACACCCGUCUGAGCUGCACAUCACAGACACUGUAACUGCUGGGCUCACCUGAAUGUGUUCCCACGUGCCAUGCACUGCUGGCGCUCUCAUGGCUCCACACAAUGCCUGCAUUUCACCCGACAUCGCGCUUCAACACCGUGGCAUGGCUGCAUUAGCUGCUGCUGGAGGACAAAUAAGGAAAGGAAACGGGAAAGGAGGCGGAGUCCAUCCCUGGCUUCCUCAUACUUUCAUUUGAAUGGGAUUUGGAUUCUGCCUGUCAUUGUGAAGUAGACUGGAAAAGAGUACUGUCAACACAGAUGAAGACUCAGUGUGAAUAAAAUUAAAAUAAUUAAGUUCUGUUCAACAUCAGUUUGGCCCUGCUUGAGUUGCCAGGACUCCGUACACAAUUUGGGAUGGGGGUUGGGUUUUUUUUUUCGUUGACUGUGGUUUCCUUGGUUGGAAUGCUAUGUCUAAGACCACCAUCCAGGAGAAUGAAGGUCUUCCACCCAAGGGCAACAUCUGUUAUCUACACAUUUGGAUAUUGUGUCCAAAACAGGAGAUAUCAGCUUUGGAGGAACGCGAUUUCAGAGUAUGAAGCAGUUCCAAAGACCACUUGGACUUGAUCUCCAAAUGCCUGAGAUAGAUACAAGCCUUGAAAGUGACCCUCGACACCCUGGGAUCUUCUGUGUAAAAGGCUGAAGCACCCAGGGGGUGUAUCCUUGACUGUGCUGCUGAGUCAAUUAAUUACAGUGCUCGAAAUAAAAUGAAGCUUUGGUUAAGGUAGGAAAAGAGAAAAUAGUACUAAGGUUAACAGUUUGUGAACGUAUAUGUUAAAUAUAUGCAUGUCCCUAUACAGCAGGAAAAGAAAAGGAGUUGGAGGAGAGCAAUUCUAUAUCCUAGUGCCUGUUAUCUGGGCAGAGCAAGGAACUGAGGAGACAUACCCAGGAGCAGCCCACGGCUCUGCAGCGUUGCUCACGCUGAUACCCUACUGCAGCCCAGCAGGGUGCCAAGGAGCUGCUGUGGGAACUGGCUGGAGCAACAACAGAGCCCAGCCAGCUCCCUCCCAUUGACAGCAAGCUCAGCAAAGCAUUGAAGCUGGCUGAACUUACACCUUGGGGUGGUUCAGUGUCACCUGCUCAGAAACAAGGAGCAGCUUUGCUAGACCGUCCCAGCAGCACAGAAGUGCCAUCUGGACCUGGGAGAAGUGUGAAUCUUGUCUCAACUACAGAUGAUCCUAGCACUGUGCAAGCAAACACCCUUAAGGAAAGAGUGCAAUAUGAAUUUGGGUGUAACCAAGCUAUGGUGAGGUCCCCUCCAAAGGAGCAAGAUUAAAUAUGGCUGUAUGAGCCAGCACUAAUCUACUGAGAAGUGGGCAUGCUGGACCAUAGGCAGCCAGCAGUUCGCAGCACAUUGGGGUGCUCCCAUGGCCUGCAGAGAAGAGGGCUACAUGAGACAAGUGUCCCCCUCCAGAGCUUCAAAUGGACCUGAAGCUCCAUGCUUCUCCCCGUGGGAACAAGCUCAAUUUUGUGCUUUGGUCUAAAGAGAGAUCAAGAAGCACUACCAGAACCAGAGCCAGAAAGGAAUGGGUAAUGGGGUGAGUAAGAAGCCUACCAAACCUGUUCAGACUGCUCCUGGGAAGAACAACAGUGACAGCAGAUGGCAGUGCCCAGGAAAUGACUGGGGCUGGUGGGCAGCACUAUUCAGCACUUCCAGCACUAAUUUGAUAGCUGGUGGGCAGUGGUGAAGGGAAAGCAAUGGGGUCAGGUGGGAUGAGGCCACUCUGGAUAGACACUGUUCCUAUCUCUCAGACCUAAAUGCCCCUCCUUACAGGGGCAGGUGCUCAACAAUUCGCUCCAGCUCCAGUGCAGAGCAGAGGGAGCUGUUCUGAAAAUGUAAAACAAAGAAGAAAAAUAACGUUUGGCUAGAAGAAGGACUUUGCAAAAUUUCAUAAGCACAUCAUGGGGAUUUAUUUAAAUACUCUUUCAAAACUUGCAUAACAAGGAAGUAGAUGCAGAUAAUUCUUAUGCGUCUCACCAACACUACAAACAAGACCCAUUUUUCAAUGACAGUAUUGAAAAUGUUUCCUCCCUUGAGUUACACGUAGUCAAGAUUGUCACAUGGGGAUUUUUAAAAAAAUCCCUUAAGCUGGGAAUAUUUAAGAUAACUUUCAGAAGAUCUCUGUCUACAUUUCACUGUUUUAAGUCUCCUUUCAUAAUUAUGUUUAAUGUAACCUCUGCAAAACAAAUAAAAUCACUCAUUUCCAACAGACAUUCACCCACUGCAAUGAGCUCAAAGAAAGACAGACAAUAGCAGAGGAUAAGCGGCUGAGAGUGGACAGCCACGUCCUCCAGCCAAGCAAACCCCAGAAAGUAAGACAGUGUUUUUCAUCGGUCCUUUACAGUUCAGCAUUUAGAGCUGUCACAUUUCUCACCUCACAGAAAGUCCCACUGAAGGACAUCUAGCAGAGCUCUCUCCCUCUCACUAGCAGCCCUCUGCUAUGCACACGAGCCACAGCUUAAUGCAGAUACAUACAUUUUUACCAGCUCUUCCUUAAAGUAUCUGCUUUUUACUGGCUCAGCUUUUUUUGACGCUGUUAUACCUUUGAAAUGAAACUCGAGAGUCCACCUUUCAUUCAAAUAGGGAUGUAAAUUCCCUAGGAAACUGGUUCAUAUUCUUUAGGAAUGUCUGCAUUUUCACAAGAGUCAAAGAACCCAAAUGUCUACAUUAUAGGUCUAAGUUAUGUGCAAUUUAACAAGGGUUAGAGUAACAACAGAAACAAUUCAGAAAAGUAUACGUUUGUAAUUUAAUUAUUCAAUUAUUCCCUUCUAAAGUUCUUAAUAAAUAUUUAAAUAUUGCACACAGCAAGAUAAGUGAAACAUCAACAUUGCAACAUGGCACCGAUUCAGGAUGCACCAUUGGAUAUUGGACUCAUCAGGCCUUUAGGACACAAGCUAGUCAGUGAACAUCAAGUAUAUUUUUUGAUGAACUAUUUGCAAAUUAGAUGUAUUACAAAUGUUUGCUCAUUUAAUUAGAAUAUAAAAGAUGAUUUCUUUGACUGGA